AGGACGAACGCUGGCGGCGUGCUUAACACAUGCAAGUCGAGCGGAAAGGCCCUUCGGGGUACUCGAGCGGCGAACGGGUGAGUAACACGUGAGCAACCUGCCCUUAGCUCCGGGAUAGCUCCGGGAAACCGGAAUUAAUACCGGAUACGACCACGGCCGACAUCUGCUGUGGUGGAAAGGAUUCCGGCUAAGGAUGGGCUCGCGGCCUAUCAGCUAGUUGGUGGGAUACGGCCCACCAAGGCGACGACGGGUA
rnacentral:rRNA from 1 species